GCAACAUGCUUUACACAUACAAGUAGAGCGACCGCACGAGAGCAAUCCUGGUGGCGAGUGGCGAACGGGUGAGUAAUAUAUCGGAACGUGCCCAGUAGUGGGGGAUAACGCAGCGAAAGCUGUGCUAAUACCGCAUACGAUCUCAGGAUGAAAGCAGGGGACUCCCAAGGCCCUCGCUCGAUGAGAGCGCGCGAUAUCAGAUUAUAUAGUUGGUGGUGUAGAAUCACCACAAGGCGGCUCUCUGUAGCGUCUGUGAGAGGAAGCCCACACACACUGGAUGUGACACGCGGUACAGUCUCAUACGAGACACCACAGUGGAGAAUUUUGCACAAUGGGAGAAAGCCUGAUACACCAAUGGCGCGAGCAGGAUGAAGGCUUUCGGGUUGUAAACUGCUCAGGUACGGAGCGAAACGGUCUUUUAUCAUAAAGGGGUAUAAUGGCGGUACGCUAAGAAUAAGCCCCGGCUAUCUACGUCACCACAGCCGCUGUAAUAUGUAGGGUGCGAGCUAUUAUGGGAAAUACUGGGUGUAAAGCGUGCGCAGGCGGUUAUAUACGACAGAUGAGAUAUCCCCGGGCUCAACCUGGGACCCGCAUUUGUGACGCAAUAGAUAGAGUGUCGUAGAGGGGGAGGGAAUUCCGCGUGUCACAGAGAAAUGUGUAGAUAUGGGGAGGCACCCAGAUGGAGAACACAAUCCCCGGGUCCCGUAGUGACUCUCAUGCGAGAAAGCGUGGGGAGCACACAGGAUUAGAUACCGUGGUAGUCCACCCCAUAAGAGAUGUCAACGGGUUGGGGGGUCUUCAAUGCCUCAGUAACGAAGCUAACGCGUGAAGUUGACCGCCUGGGGAGUACGGUCGCAAGGUUG
rnacentral:rRNA from 1 species